GAGACCCACGCCAACAGUUGCCAGCAUGUCCUCCGGGAUGGUGGGGACACUGUUGGGACCGCCUCUGCUAAAGAGGAGGAAGGAAUGGGCAACGGUAGGUCAGCAUGCCCCGAAUUAUCCGGGCUACACGCGGGCUACAAUGGUCAGGACAAUGGGUAUCGACACCGAGAGGUGAAGGCAAUCUCUUAAACCUGUCCUUAGUUCGGAUUGUGGGCUGCAACUCGCCCACGUGAAGCUGGAAUCCGUAGUAAUCGCGUCUCAAAAUGGCGCGGUGAAUAU
rnacentral:rRNA from 1 species